rnacentral:rRNA from 1 species
UUAAUCCUACGGGACGCAGCAGUGAGGAAUAUUGGUCAAUGGGCGCAAGCCUGAACCAGCCAAGUCGCGUGAGGGAAGACGGUCCUAUGGAUUGUAAACCUCUUUUGUCGGGGAGCAAAGCGCGGUACGAGUGCCGUGAAGGAGAGUACCCGAAGAAAAAGCAUCGGCUAAAUACGUGCCAGCAGCCGCGGUAAUACGUAUGGAGCAAGCGUUAUCCGGAUUUACUGGGUGUAAAGGGAGCGCAGACGGCAGGGCAAGUCUGAUGUGAAAGUCCGGGGCUCAACCCCGGGACUGCAUUGGAAACU